CCUACGGGUGGCAGCAGCAAGGAAUUUUCCGCAAUGGGCGAAAGCCUGACGGAGCAACGCCGCGUGCGGGAUGACGCCUUUCGGGGUGUAAACCGCUUUUCUUGGGGACGAAGAGUGACGGUACCCGAGGAAGAAGGCCCGGCUAACUACGUGCCAGCAGCCGCGGUAAUACGUAGGGGCCGAGCGUUGUCCGGAGUUAUUGGGCGUAAAGCGCGCGCAGGCGGCGCGUCAAGUCUGACGUGAAAGCCCCCGGCUCAACCGGGGAGGGUCGUCGGAGACUGGCGUGCUUGAGUGUGGCAGGGGCUGGUGGAAUUCCCGGUGUAGUGGUGAAAUGCGUAGAGAUCGGGAGGAACACCCGUGGCGAAGGCGGCCAGCUGGGCCAUCACUGACGCUGAGGCGCGAAGGCGUGGGGAGCGAACGGGAUUAGAUACCCUUGUAGUC
rnacentral:rRNA from 1 species